AUUGAACGCUGGCGGCAUGCUUUACACAUGCAAGUCGAACGGUAACAGGGAGCUUGCUCCGCUGACGAGUGGCGAACGGGUGAGUAAUGCAUCGGAACGUACCCAGUCGUGGGGGAUAACGUAGCGAAAGUUACGCUAAUACCGCAUACGUCCUGAGGGAGAAAGCGGGGGACCUAAGGCCUCGCGCGAUUGGAGCGGCCGAUGUCGGAUUAGCUAGUUGGUAGGGUAAAGGCCUACCAAGGCGACGAUCCGUAGCGGGUCUGAGAGGAUGAUCCGCCACACUGGGACUGAGACACGGCCCAGACUCCUACGGGAGGCAGCAGUGGGGAAUUUUGGACAAUGGGCGAAAGCCUGAUCCAGCCAUGCCGCGUGAGUGAAGAAGGCCUUUGGGUUGUAAAGCUCUUUCGGCCGGGAAAAAGGGUGUGGCUGGCUAAUAUCCAGCAUAUUUGAUGGUACCGGAAGAAGAAGCACCUGCUAACUACGUGCCAGCAGCCGC
rnacentral:rRNA from 1 species